GUCUUUAAGAAUUUUAAUUUAAAGUCCAAUCUGCCCAAUGAAAAUUAAUUUAAAUGGCUGCAGUAUAUUAACUGUACAAAGGUAGCAUAAUAAUUUGUUUUUUAAUUAAAAACUAGAAUGAAAGAUUAAAUGAAAUAUAAACUGUUUCAAUAAAAAAUAUUAAAUUUAUUAUUUAAGUAAAAAAACUUAAAUAUUUUUUUUAGACGACAAGACCCUAUAGAAUUUUAUUUAAAUCUAUAAAUAAUUAUAAAUUUAAAUUUUGUUGGGGUAAUAAAAAAAUUAAAUUAAUUUUUUUUAAAAAUAACAUUUAUAAAUGAAUUUUUUAUCUUAAAAUUUAAAUUAAAAAAAUUAAUUACCUUAGGGAUAACAGCAUAAUUUUUUUUAAAAGACCAUAUUAAUAAAAAAGAUUAU
rnacentral:rRNA from 1 species